AUCCUGGAACAACACCAACACGACGAUAUCAGAUCAACCUUCUACAAAUGUCUGCAAACACUCACUGUUGUUCCCUUCCCUGAUCUCCUCUACGUACUUAAAAGGAUUUAAACCAAACAUUUCACAUGUUUGGAGUCAUUGCUCCAAAAGACCUGUCGUCACUGAGUUUCAGUCCAUUUCUGGUGUAAUUUGACAUACCUUAGGUUUUCCCCAUUAUUUCUCUUCUUUUAAAAGAUGGUUUCUUUGACUGAUAGAAUCUCUGUCAUGAUACUUUUAUAUAUUCAUCUACUUCAUUCUGCAUAAAGUACAGCUCAGAUUUCAUUGGCUGAGCCUGUAUCAGCAACAGAAGCUUCAAAAAAGCUCCAUUUGUAGGUCAGUCACUAUAUCCAAGUGUGCGUGUUGGGGGAUUUCAAGUUAUCUGCCAUUCAUGAUUUGUGCACUAACAGCAAAGUGUUUUCACAGCUGAAUAAAUGUUAGGGUUAACAUAUGAUGACCAGAUUGAAGAAAACAAUCAAGCAGGCAAACUAUAUAUGUUGACUUAAAACAGCCGGAACUUGGUGAUUUAAACAUCAAUAAAUUAAUUAAAAUGAAGAGGUUAGCACAGUCCACAACCCUGCAGGCAAAAACACAGACCGGAAAUUAAUUCACUGUCAUGCACCAGAGCAUUUUAUUUUUAUUGUUACAUCAUACCUCAGGCAGGUUGAUGGAACAGGUCAGCUGCACAGCUGCUUGUGCCUGGGUUAGUUAAAAGACCUGAUGGAGAACCAUGUGUUGCUGGAUGUGGAGUAACAUCAGUGGAACUCAGUCAAGUGUGGAGCCAUGAAACGUCUUUCUUAUUUCCUGUCUCCUGAGUGCAGGGCACUCUGGGUUAAGGUAUAAAGUAGGUAUUCUGGAGUCAUAAGACACGUGUUUCUGUUGGCUAAGGAAAGGAUUAGAAUGAGUGGUUAGAUAAGAGGUUACCUCUGUUGGCUCAGGACUUUGGGCACAUAUAAAUUGCUAAAAGUUUUGACAUGGAGCCAACAACAAUAUCUGUGUACUGUGUCACAUAAGGAUUAAAUAUUUUAUAGGUUUUACGCUAAGAGUGAACAACUAGCCUAGGUGCAGAUGUAUCAAAUAUUCUGUUGCAUUACCAGCUCCUAGAAACCCAUGACACCAGGCAUACUUUUCUCUUGAGUCACAUGAAUGUCUGCAUUGUGUAAUAUCCUGCCUCUAUUAAACUUCUGUUUUCAGCUUGCCUCAUGAGAAUUUAGUUGCCUGUGGUACCUUGUUGUAGUAGAUUAGAGCUAACUGGUGGGACGUGGCUACUGCUCUCUCACACACACACAAUCAUCAUCUCUGUGAAUCUCCAGGAGGAUCAGGGAGAUUUUCUACAAGCAAGAAGGAAACCAGGUGCACACGUCCUCCAGAACCGUUCUUCUUUCCUGCUGAAGACUAAGAUGGCCACUUGCGGGUCAUGUUUCUGGUGCAUCAUAUGGCUCAUUGUUCUGCUGUUCAUUGGCUGGCCCAUCAGCAUCGCUUUAGGGGGUCUCUACGGCCUCAUCAGCCCCCUCACCACCUGCCUUGGUCUGGACCGACUGUCUGAUUUACUCCUGGAGGGAGCUAAUGUGGGCAGAACCUGUGCCAAUAACAUGAGGCACAGCAAGCCUUUGUGUUGAAAUCCAUCCUGUCUGAUCAGGACCAGAAAAAACAGAGGUCGAAGCCUUCACCUCAGGAAGAACUGUUAAUGUCUGAUUUAUGUGGAGCUAUUCCAGCCCGACUGGUGCAUAAUUCCCUGAGAAACCUUCCAGCAACUUAUGUCACAAUAAGGUCCAGAAAGUCCUGGAAAAUUGAUUCCUCUCUCACUGGUAACAUGUAAUUAACUACAGAUUUUAAAUUUGCAUGGGUUUGUCAGGAAGAAAAUAGGCUUGCAGUGCAUGGUCUGUGUUUGCUGUUUAAUUCACGAUGACGCUGCGUGGAGACGAUAAGAACGAAAAUGCCAAUUUAACAAUGAAAAUAUUUAGACUUGGUAAUGUCUGUAUGGAAAUAUAUGGAAAUGCGAUUAAAACUGCUUUGAACUUG